AUGUGUAAUCAUUUCAAAACCAUGUGGAGCUGGCCCUGGGGAAGAGCUGCCCUGGCUGAUGUUUGGAGAGUGAGUAAAUCAAGCAAACCUCACCUCUCUGUAGCACAGCAGGCAACAGACUCAAACCCAUCCAGUCUCCCAACUCUCCACCUGCCAUUCGGGCAAGGACUAGGCCAUUGUUAUCCAACUGUUCAACAGACUCAAACCCAUCCAGUCUCUGAACCUUCCUCUGAAACCCAGGCUAGAGCCUGGGCCAUUGUUAUCCACCCUGGCAACAGACUCAAACCCAUCCAGUCUCUGAACCUUCCUCUGAAACCCAGGCUAGAGCCUGGGCCAUUGUUAUCCACCCUGCUAACAGACCUGCUAUUUGAAUCCAGAACAACGGACCAGGACCAGAGACCCUCAGCUUUCCCAUUCCUCUCUCUCCCCAUCCACAGUGAGAUAGGCUACUCCUCGCUGGAACUGGCUCUGGGGAAGAGCUGCCCUAGCUGAUGUUUGGAGG
rnacentral:lncRNA from 1 species